rnacentral:rRNA from 1 species
GACGAACGCUGGCGGCGUGCCUAAUACAUGCAAGUAGAACGCUGAAGGAGGAGCUUGCUCUUCUGGAUGAGUUGCGAACGGGUGAGUAACGCGUAGGUAACCUGCCUGGUAGCGGGGGAUAACUAUUGGAAACGAUAGCUAAUACCGCAUAAUAUUGACUAUUGCAUGAUAGUCAAUUGAAAGGUGCAAAUGCACCACUACCAGAUGGACCUGCGUUGUAUUAGCUAGUUGGUGGGGUAACGGCUCACCAAGGCGACGAUACAUAGCCGACCUGAGAGGGUGAUCGGCCACACUAGGACUGAGACACGGCCCAGACUCCUACGGGAGGCAGCAGUAGGGAAUCUUCGGCAAUGGACGGAAGUCUGACCGAGCAACGCCGCGUGAGUGAAGAAGGUUUUCGGAUCGUAAAGCUCUGUUGUAAGAGAAGAACGAGUGGAGAGGGAAAGUUCACAC